GGAACAAGCCAUCAGCCAUUUACUGGACAAAGGUGACCUCCAACUACACUACCAGGGUUGGAGGGCUCCCUCUCCACCAUCCCGGAAUUAUCCGAUGAAGAGGAAUUCCCACCACUACCAGUCAUCAGUGUUGCUGGUCCCCGGACUGGCACAAUGGAACAGCGAGGAGCCCCGACAACCAUAACGGGAGGGUCACCUAACAUGAUGAGCGGGCAAUUAAAGGCUAAUAUUGCCACUCAAGCCGUAUCUGAGACCUCCCUACCACUUCUCCGCGGAAGUCCACCUCCCACUUGUGCCGUUCGGGGGUCCAGCACACCUCCACCCCCCGAGGAUAGCCCCACAGGACCCUCCUCCACCUCCUCCCCAUUCAGCCUACCACCACACACUCCCA